CCUACGGGCGGCAGCAGUGGGGAAUAUUGGACAAUGGGGGCAACCCUGAUCCAGCCAUGCCGCGUGUGUGAAGAAGGCCCUCGGGUUGUAAAGCACUUUCAGUGAGGAAGAACGCCUGGUGGUUAAUACCCAUCAGGAAAGACAUCACUCACAGAAGAAGCACCGGCUAACUCCGUGCCAGCAGCCGCGGUAAUACGGAGGGUGCGAGCGUUAAUCGGAAUCACUGGGCGUAAAGCGCGCGUAGGUGGCUUGAUAAGCCGGUUGUGAAAGCCCCGGGCUCAACCUGGGAACGGCAUCCGGAACUGUCAAGCUAGAGUGCAGGAGAGGAAGGUAGAAUUCCCGGUGUAGCGGUGAAAUGCGUAGAGAUCGGGAGGAAUACCAGUGGCGAAGGCGGCCUUCUGGACUGACACUGACACUGAGGUGCGAAAGCGUGGGUAGCAAACAGGAUUAGAUACCCUGGUAGUC
rnacentral:rRNA from 1 species